ensembl:lincRNA
AGCUGUGUUGUGUGGUUUCUGCGGUGUCCGGCGCGCCAGCGUCUACCUCGGGACAUCGCUCUCCAUAGUGCAAAAACAGCUUCGCGCUCAGCUCGGGUCAGGAUGGAGAGAAGGAGGGAAGAUGCUCCGACGCUGUAGUAGUUGGUUUCAGCAUAAAUUCCAAAUUCCUGGGAGGAAUCUGCAUGGCCAUCUUGUGCCACAGACCGAGGGGCAUAGGUGGAGCGCAGUUGGCCGAGAUACUUUUCCUGACAUCGAAGACACAGUCUCAUGGGGAAAAUGGUAGUAAUUUUAAUAAUCAGCACACAAGCUGUGCGAGCAGAGAGCGCCUGGCAGCGAGUCAGUUCCUGGUGCGGCUCAGCUGGAGUGACCCUGAUGAGAGCCCAGACUCCGGUCCCGGUGUGGGAUUCACCAACACUUUGAGUGUGGGCUCAGUCUCUCUGCUACUACUGGAAUGUUGGCCUGGAAAGCUGCUCGCCCGGAGCUGAAUGCAUUGUUAUUUCACUAUCUGAGCCAGCAAGAGCCAGUUUUACAAAUUUCUAACAGAAGGCAUAAAAGGAAUUCCAACAGAAACUGAUUUUUCCCUUUUUAAAAAAAUUCUUGACUUGGGCCAAAUUAGUAGGGACUGACAUAUUUGAAGUGCUUAGUGUACAUACUGUUGUAUUCCUUUGAAAUUUAAUCUUGUAGUCACUGCUCCUGGAAGAAAUAUAUUAAAGUUUAUUGAC